rnacentral:rRNA from 1 species
GACGAACGCUGGCGGCGUGCUUAACACAUGCAAGUCGAACGGAAAGGCCCUGCUUUUGUGGGGUGCUCGAGUGGCGAACGGGUGAGUAACACGUGAGUAACCUGCCCUUGACUUUGGGAUAACUUCAGGAAACUGGGGCUAAUACCGGAUAGGAUCUCCUGCUGCAUGGUGUGGGUUGGAAAGUUUCGGCGGUUGGGGAUGGACUCGCGGCUUAUCAGCUUGUUGGUGGGGUAGUGGCUUACCAAGGCUUUGACGGGUAGCCGGCCUGGGAGGGUGACCGGCCACAUUGGGACUGAGAUAGGGCCCAGACUGCUACGGGAGGCAGCAGUGGGGAAUAUUGCACAAUGGGCGGAAGCGUGAUGCAGCAACGCCGCGUGCGGGAUGACGGCAUUCGGGUUGUAAACCGAUUUAGAAUGUGACGAAGAGAGAGUGACGGUAAUGGGUAAAGAAGCACCGGCUAACUACGUG